AGAAAUGCAAUAACUGAAUUGUUAACACAAUGCCAAAGUUUCAGUCUUAUAGUCUACAUCUUGGUUAAUUUUCCAAUCAAACGCAUUAUUAAGGGGCAUUAUUAAACAACUAUUUUUAACUCUGUCAGAAGAAAGUCAUCCCGGUGAUAUUUUCCCUCAAGUCUCAAGCCACAAUGUUUUACACUGGCUCUAAGUUGAGAUCAGUUACAGGAAAGGCAAUAUCUCUCUGAGUAGUGGAGAGAAAAGGUUUUCUGUAGUUUUCACUUGACAGAUGUGCCCCUACCAUUGGAAGCAAACCACCUAAGUUGGCAUCACACAGAGAAGCCCAAGGUAAGCACAGAAGUGAAAUGGACCCUGGAUGCUUUUGGAAUUAAUAAGUCACUGUGACUAGCUCUUUAGGUUCUAAACUGUUGGUAUUAAGGUAAUAUUUUUCGUAAAAGCUU